rnacentral:rRNA from 1 species
UACGAAGGGGGCUAGCGUUGCUCGGAAUCACUGGGCGUAAAGGGUGCGUAGGCGGGGCUUUAAGUCAGGGGUGAAAUCCUGGAGCUCAACUCCAGAACUGCCCUUGAUACUGAGGAUCUUGAGUUCGGGAGAGGUGAGUGGAACUGCGAGUGUAGAGGUGAAAUUCGUAGAUAUUCGCAAGAACACCAGUGGCGAAGGCGGCUCACUGGCCCGAUACUGACGCUGAGGCACGAAAGCGUGGGGAGCAAACAGG